UACGGAGGGGGCUAGCGUUGUUCGGAAUUACUGGGCGUAAAGGGCGCGUAGGCGGCGAUUCAAGUCAGGCGUGAAAGGCCUGGGCUCAACCCGGGAACUGCGUUUGAUACUGGAUUGCUGGAGUCCGGGAGAGGAUGGCGGAAUUCCCAGUGUAGAGGUGAAAUUCGUAGAUAUUGGGAAGAACACCGGUGGCGAAGGCGGCCAUCUGGACCGGAACUGACGCUGAGGCGCGAAAGCGUGGGUAGCGAACAGG
rnacentral:rRNA from 1 species